AUUGAACGCUGGCGGAAUGCUUUACACAUGCAAGUCGAGCGGCAGCGCGGGGGCAACCCUGGCGGCGAGCGGCGAACGGGUGAGUAACAUAUCGGAACGUACCCCGUCGUGGGGGAUAACACAGCGAAAGUUGUGCUAAUACCGCAUACGACCUGAGGGUGAAAGCGGGGGACCUGCAAGGGCCUCGCGCGAUGGGAGCGGCCGAUAUCGGAUUAGGUAGUUGGUGGGGUAAAAGCCUACCAAGCCGACGAUCUGUAGCUGGUCUGAGAGGACGACCAGCCACACUGGGACUGAGACACGGCCCAGACUCCUACGGGAGGCAGCAGUGGGGAAUUUUGGACAAUGGGCGCAAGCCUGAUCCAGCCAUGCCGCGUGCGGGAAGAAGGCCUUCGGGUUGUAAACCGCUUUUGUCAGGGAAGAAAUCCUUUGAGUUAAUACCUCGGGGGGAUGACGGUACCUGAAGAAUAAGCACCGGCUAACUACGUGCCAGCAGCCGCGGUAAUACGUAGGGUGCGAGCGUUAAUCGGAAUUACUGGGCGUAAAGCGUGCGCAGGCGGUCUUGCAAGACAGGUGUGAAAUCCCCGGGCUUAACCUGGGAACUGCACUUGUGACUGCAAGGCUGGAGUACGGCAGAGGGGGAUGGAAUUCCGCGUGUAGCAGUGAAAUGCGUAGAUAUGCGGAGGAACACCGAUGGCGAAGGCAAUCCCCUG
rnacentral:rRNA from 1 species